GCCUUUGAGGUCAGCAGAAGCAUGAAGCAGCAUGCCUCUGACUGCUCGAUUUGGUCUUCAGCUGCAGUUUUUUUCUUCCCUAAAAUUGCUUUGACAUGUUUUUUUCUCCUUCAAGAGGAAAUGAUUCAGAGCAGAGUAUUAGCAAAUAAUAUAAGAAAGAACUGAAUGUGUGUGGUUUUUACUGGAAAUUGGUUCAUCUCGAAGUGACACAGUGACCCUUAAACUUCAUUAUAAAUGAAAAGAAAGAUUUUUUUUUCCACUGGCUCAGAGAUUUAAAGAAGGCCAGAAUGUUGCAGGUUUAGUAAUUGGGGGUAUUUAAUGACACAUACAGUAGCUGAACCUCCUCAAAUCUCCCCGGAGACACGCCCUGGUGUUAACAGUGGCUGAAACAGGUAGGCAUAGCUGCUGUGCUAUCAGGCUAGACAGUGAGCUCAUGGGACUUCCCCACCAUGCUGGUCCUGUUCUACUUACAGAGAGUCUGUCUGCAGAGGAGGCCGCCGAAAGCCUCGUCCCUUUCUUCACAUAUGAGUUGAUCACAGAGGAUUAGUGCAGACAAAGUGGCAGGGAGCCACCGCUGAGUGUGCUUGGGUUUAAGCAUGCCCCGGCUCAGUUCUGUCUCAUCAAAAGAGUUUACUUAAAAUAUACGGGUAUUAUCUCUGCCCUCUGUGUGGGCGUGUGCGCAUUCAGAUAGGCCCUAAGUACUGUUAUACAAUUGAGUUGUAUGAUGAUGAUUGAUACUUUGAAUGAUACGGGCUCAUCAGAAAGGCUUAAAACUUUGGGAUCUUAACAGGACAAUGUCUCCCUCUGUCUCAUUUGAUGAGUCCACUUGAUUGCAUGUGUACACACUCACACACGCUAGGUACAGUAGGUGUACAAGCCUGCAUCCCCUCCAGCGCCCGCAUGAUCCCUCACGCAGCUAACAAGAUCUGUACGGUGCCUGCCACCAUGUGUCGACAUAAAGACUCAGGUGAUGUGAAAACCUGAGAAAAACAAGCUGCACAACUUAAGAGGUAACACCAGUCGUGAGUAGUUUCAAGUCUGAACAUUUUCAGCAGCCUGAUGUCACAUUUACUGGUAUGCUUGGUACCAUUUUUCUUCACUAUUGGCUGAUACCAAAUCCCUGAUACGAGCAUGAACGUUGCGAGCACCACGUUGUUGUUUGAAAGCAGUUGUUGCAAGAAAAUCAACCUGAAAUUAACUAACUUUUGGAGAUAACUGAUUGCAAAAUUCGAUCACUGCCUUAGCGGGUAAUAUCUGAUUCCCAGAAACAAACUCAACAAGUACAACACAUCUUUAAAUGACUCUUGUGCCUGUUAGGUCAUUUUAUCCAUCAUGCUUCAAAAGCAGUCUCUGUCAAGCAGGAAUAAGUCUUAAGUUAGUCAGAGCCCCCUGAUGUGACGUCUCCAUUUAUGCCGCCUUGAUAACUGUAUUUCCUUUUCCUCUCACCCUCUCUUGCUCUCUAUUUGUGCCAGUUACUGAGGCUGUGGUCAGGAAGCAUUCCUGGGGCAAGCCCGCAGCAUUCGCCGGGAUGCCUGCACUGAAGUGUGGAACUCAGCAAGCCGCUCCGCUCCCCUGUGGUGCCGCCAUGGUGAGUACCAAGAGACCCCGCUGGGCCUGCGGUGGUGUCAGUAACCUCGCAUGUGAAGCUCCUGCAGAGAGGAAGAGGAAGGGAAGAAAGAGGGGAAACUUCUGAGCUGUGAGGCUUGGCAUUUUCACACAUAAAUCUCGCAGACAAUUGGAGAGAAAUAAAUGUCAAAAUGGAAGAGAGUAAAUGAGGAGUGGAGGUGACGUGAUGCUGUGUAUGGCCAUCUGGAAAAGAACAUUAGGCUCUCUGCAGGGUGUCUAACUCCUUCACUCAUUAGCAUGCGGUAUAGGACAGUGCUGGUCUCACAACAUGCAUCCAUCUUGUAGCUAUCUUACGGCAACAGCUGUUCGGUCAUUGUUUGAGUUCAGAUUUCAGAGUCGAAGUAGAAAGUAGGUGGAACAAUCGAUGACUUUGUAUUUUCCCAUCUAGAGACUGGAAAAAUCUGGAUUUUUUUUUUAACUACUUCUGAGAUGUUGUAUAUUAGAACUGGACGUAGCAUCUCAUUUUCAAAAUAGAGCAAAAACACCUUUAAACCUACACGGCAUGAAACGGCUGAAAGAGGGAGACUCCACUGAUAGCUAUCAACAGGUCAGACUGUGUACUGCAGCACAACAAGAUAUGAACUGAUACCAUAUGUCACACAACUGUAUGAUGUUAUGUGAUACUGAUAUGAUAUGAUAAGUUGUUGCCCCUGAACUCAUUGACAUGUCUUCUUAGCAAAAUGCAAAAAUAAGAAAAUUGGAUCAAACAAGAAUGAAGAUGUUAACAGAGAAGAUGAAGGGAAGUGCCUACCAAUCAAAAUUACAUAAUACCCUUAUUGUUUUACAUAAUAAACAACAAAACAAGAGGAUAAAAACCAGAUGAAAAAUUACCCUUCUUCCCAGCUGAUUAAUUAUCUCAGUAAACAUUCUCCUAAUGAGUUUAUGGUUGUAAUUGCUCGAGUCAAGUGUUCUUCUGUACAGCAUGAUGCUGAAGUGAUAAGCCCAAUUUAAAGUGCCGCAUUAGUAACGAUAGCACAGGGUGGCUACCUGUGAUUGACAAGUCACUUCCACAGCUGCUUUUCCAUAAGGAUAGCGAAACAGAAUGUAUCCAAUCUGUUUUCCAAAUAUGGUCAUUUCCAUUUUCAAAAAAAAAAGGUCAAAAUGGGGACAGCUAAAAUGAUGAAAUUGUGGCUUCAAGGAGGGUUCACAGAUGGGUGAAAUUACAGUGGAUACAUCCUCUUGUAUACAGUUAAUGGGUAAAACUUAAAUAUCCUUUAAUUUGAACCCAAAUGCUGCCAAGUUUUAGUUCUUUAGAGAAAAAAAAAAGAGAAAAAGUUACACCCUGAUAUUGCCUGUAAAUCCAAAAAGCAAACAGUACCACACACACUCUCUGAAGAGCAAGUCCUGGCAGGUUGCGGUCAGCCUCUCUGCAGUGAAACUCAUGAACCCACUGAGAAAAAAAAAAGAAAGUCCUGUCUUUGAAAAGCCGUUUCAUACGGCUUCAUUUGACUUAUUAUCGAUGAUUGAUCCUCACUGCUCUGCUGACACUUUCCACACUCUCCCACUCCUCCUUAGCAAGUGUGUAACUCAAGUCCUUUUCAUGACCAGUGUCAUAAAUUAAACAUGGCCUCGGCUUCCCUUGUGUGUCUGAGGGUAUAAAAAUAGCUCGGUUUGGUGCUCAGUGUGACGCCCGUGCACAGCCUCUCUGUCUUUAAUGAAGUGUUUCCAUGAAAAGUGUACCGAUCUUGUACUUUGGGCUCUGUGGUAACCCAUGUUCUGACUUUCUCAAACUCCCCAAGUGACUCUGAGCUCAUUUGGUUACACAAGUGCUCACAAUUACCAGGAGAUUUGGACACAGGGACGUGGGAUAUUUCCAUAUCCCUGACGGAUGUUAUUUUAAUUACACAGCACUGCUUGACUUUGUGCUAUGGAUUUACAUGGGGUUUUUUUUGUCUUCUGUGGAUGCAAAGAGGGAUUUUGGGAAGGUUAUUCUGUUUUACUGAAUCUCUUAUUUACUGAGGCCUCCUAGUCUCUGGAAAAACACAGAGAAGCCAUAUUGAAUCACAGUGUUUAAUCUUUAAAUCUAAGGUAGUUAGAUUCAGUAACAAAAUCAUGUUGUAAAAGCAGUGACUGAAUCCUGAUGAGAUAAAGAUGACAAAGUUAUCCUCUCCUCCCUUUCUGGCUUUAGCGUCGACUCUAUUUUCGGCUUGUAUGCGUGAAACAUUCUCUGCAACGUCUGAAGAAACUUGUUAUCUCCAAUCAGCCUUGUUGUGAGGUCCUAAUUAUGUUUGAUUAAGAUAAAAGAAAUCACACAUGGGAGCGGGUAUGAUAAUUAUAGUGUAGAAUCUUCCUUGUACGUUGAAACACAAACAUAAAUGCAUCAACACAGCUGAUUAAUUUGGCUGAUAGUGCCCGAGGAGGCGGCAGGUGUUUGGGCAUACUGAUGCUUUUCCUCUGCAGGACGCUCCCUGAAAACAAAUGUUUCAUGUGUCAUCGGCGGUGAAAUGUGGCACAGAAGCAUGGCGGGUUGCGAGAGAGGUCUGCUUUGAUUCAUGUAAGUCCUCCAGCCCAUUCCUCUUCAGGUCUUGGGGGUAAUGGCGUGCAAAUGGUGCCUCAUGAUCUGCAGUCGGCUGAUCGUGGGGGUUUAACGGCUUGCUGUUUAAAGCUUCAAAACUUUUUAACAUCUUCAUUUUGUCGAGGACGAUUUCCCCGUAUUUUUACACGUACUAUUAGAUCUAUAUAACACUGAUUCCUCACUACAGGCGAGGUUUAGCCAUUCAAAGCCAGGAGCAGAAAUCAAUGAGCCAAAGUGGCAGUUGAGCUGAAUCUCCUGCAGGGAAAAACCCAAUAAUCAAUACAGGCGAGCAAAUAAUGUGCUGUUGGUUAUAGUUUUGGAGCCGCAUGACACGAAAUAUAAUUUGUUUUUCAGGUUUUAUGUUUUUGCUUUGUGAUGAUUAUGACAAAGCUUUAAUCAGCGUUCCUGUAAACAAUUACUUUGUGUUAGUUAUCGUAUACCAGGAGUUGAUUCAUUGCGCACAAUAUUUAAAACAGCUGGAGCUUAUCCAGUCAACAUAAUAUCUAAAUAUCAACAGAGCUAUAAUUUCUUUCACGUGUGUUUUCAUAUAGUUAUACAUUCACUUCGAUUUUAGCUCUUUGAAUGUGGGUCUAAUUCAGGGAGAUGUAAUUGCUUUGAGCCCUCAGUUGACCUCAGAAAAGGAUGGGAGGCAGGAAAAUGAGUGGAAGCUUGGACAAGGGUUGGUUUUAUUUCCAUUUUUUAAUCAUUUUUAUUAUAAUUAAGUACUUAAUUUUGU